rnacentral:lncRNA from 1 species
AUGUUCCUUAUACACCUCCAAAAGGUACUCCAUCACCUGGCAAUCAACCUCCGUAUGUUCCAGUUACACCAUCUCCUGUUCACACCCCUCCUACUGUUCCUUAUACUCCACCAAAAGCUCCUUCUCCUGGAAAUGAACCACCAUAUGUACCAAUUAUAACACCACCAAAAACACCUUCUCCUGUACACACCCCUCCUAGUGUUCCAUAUACUCCACCAAAAUCUCCUUCUCCUGGGAAUGAGCCACCGUAUGUACCAAUUAUACCACCAAAAACACCUUCUCCUAUUCAUACCCCUCCUAGUGUUCCUUAUACUCCACCAAAAGCUCCUUCUCCUGGAAACGAGCCACCAUAUGUACCAAUAAUACCACCACCAAAAAUCCCUUCUCCUAUUCGCACCCCUCCUAGUGUUCCAUACACUCCACCAAAAGCGCCUUCUCCUGGGAAUGAGCCUCCAUAUGUACCAAUUACACCACCAAAAACACCUUCUCCAAUUCACACUCCUCCAAAAACUCCUUCUCCUGGGAAUGAGCCGCCAUAUAUACCAAUUACACCACCAAAAACACCUCCAAUUCAAACACCUCCUAUUCACACCCCUCCUAGUGUUCCAUACACUCCACCAAAAGCUCCUUCUCCUAGGAAUGAGCCGCCAUAUGUACCAAUUACACCACCAAAAACACCUUCUCCAAUUCACACUCCACCAAAAACUCCUUCUCCUAUUCAUACCCCUCCUAGUGUUCCUUAUAGUCCCCCAAAAGCACCUUCUCCUGGGAACCAACCACCGUAUGUACCGAUUACACCACCAAAAACACCAUCUCCUAUUCACACUCCUCCUAGUGUUCCUUAUACUCCCCCAAAAGCACCUUCUCCUGGGAACCAACCACCGUACGUACCAAUUACACCACCAAAAACACCAUCUCCUAUUCACACUCCUCCUAGUGUUCCUUAUUCUCCUCCAAAAACACCUUCUCCUGGUAAUCAACCACCAUAUGUCCCAAUUACACCACCAAAAAGUCCUUCUC